UUAUGUUGAUGAAUCCGAUUGGGUGGUAAACCGAAUAUCCGGCGAAUAUCAAACCGGAGGCUAACUUGCACCUGUUGAGGAGGCAUGCUCCGGUAGAGCUGCUCUUUAGCAUCGCGCUAACCGGGGCUAACAGAGCCUGUCUCUUCCCGUCCUAUUAACUGUACUUAUGGGAGAGAGCCCGAUUAAAUCCGGAUAUUUUAAUAAAUGGGUGUUAUAGGUUUUAAACAACAUGUCCGAGUUAUUUGAAUGACAGAAGCUCCGCUAGCUCGAUGCUAACCGGAGCUAACAGCCUGUCCCCUCCCGUCCUAUUAACUGUAUUUAUGGCUAUGCCUUUUUCUCUUUUCAAUAUGACCAAACACAAUGGCCAGAGGACCAGCAUCCUUUCUUAACUGAUGAACAAAAUAAUCUUUGAGUUCUACAUGUUCUAGAAAUGUUCAUUAAUUGACAGUCCUAAUGUUUAUUUUCUUGUCUUCUGAUUCUUUAUUACAGUAUGGAAGGGGAGAUUUGGAGGUACCUGGUCAGGUCUUGGUCAGCCUUCAAAUCCCAGAUGUGGAGACUGCAGGGAUACCUCACAGAGAAGACACUAAAGAGUCAUCUAUCAUUCAUCGAGUGGACUCAUUGGUUUGCAAAUGACCACAAAGAUGCUCCCAUAGGCAGAUUGCUGCAUCAGUCUUCCUUGUGGUCACUUGCCAUAACACUGUCAUGUGUUUUAUGAAAACACCAUCAGUAACAUUUAAA